rnacentral:rRNA from 1 species
AGGCCUCUUAUUAGAAGCUUGCUUCUGCUCAUUGCCGAGACAAGGUAAAAGGCCGUCACACGCUAAGGUAGCGUAAUAAAAAGUUCAUUAAUUGUGAACCCGAAUGAAAGAAGAAACUCAGCAGUUCUGUCAUAAUUCAGCUAAUAAAAUUAAAAAGUAAUAAAAAAGCUCUUUCAAUUGUAAGACGAGAAGACCCUAGAAACUCUCUAAGUAUUAGUUUUUUGGGGAAAAAUAAUAGGUUAAAUCUUAAGUAUUAAUGAAAUCUCAACCUAAAAAUAAGUUACUCUAGGGAUAACAGAGCAAUUUUGAUUUAAAGAUCUCAUAAAAAUUGAAGAUUGCGACCUCGAUGUUGGAUUCUUCAUUCUAUUAAUCGCAGCAGAUGAUCAAAGAGCAACUGUUCGUUGCUUAAAAGAAG